rnacentral:rRNA from 1 species
CACGUAGGGUGCGAGCGUUGUCCGGAAUUAUUGGGCGUAAAGAGCUCGUAGGCGGUGUGUCGCGUCGGCCGUGAAAACCUGCAGCUCAACUGCAGGCUUGCGGUCGAUACGGGCAGGCUAGAGUUCGGUAGGGGAGACUGGAAUUCCUGGUGUAGCGGUGAAAUGCGCAGAUAUCAGGAGGAACACCCGUGGCGAAAGCGGCUCUCUGGAACGGUACUGACGCUGAGACGCGAAAGCGUGGGGAGCGAACAGG